rnacentral:lncRNA from 1 species
GUGACAUUUUAAAACAUACGUAUUAUUUUAUUAGCUGAAUUUUAUAUUUUCAGGUAUUUUCUUACACUGCUGACAAAGAAAUCCGAACCGAUGACUUGUGCUUGGAUGUUUCUAGACUCAAUGGACCUGUAAUCAUGUUAAAAUGCCACCAUAUGAGAGGAAAUCAGUUAUGGGAAUAUGAUGCUGAGAGACUCACGUUGCGACAUGUUAACAGUAACCAAUGUCUCGAUGAACCUUCUGAAGAAGACAAAAUGGUGCCUACAAUGCAGGACUGUAGUGGAAGCAGAUCCCAACAGUGGCUGCUAAGGAACAUGACCUUGGGCACAUGAAGAUCAUGUCCUCCAAGCCAUGAAAGUGUCUACACUUUUGUUUUUCCAUUAUUUCAAUUGGGGGAAAAUAUUAAC